GACGAACGCUGGCGGCGUGCUUAACACAUGCAAGUCGAACGGAAAGGCCCUGCUUUUGUGGGGUGCUCGAGUGGCGAACGGGUGAGUAACACGUGAGUAACCUGCCCUUGACUUUGGGAUAACUUCAGGAAACUGGGGCUAAUACCGGAUAGGAGCUCCUGCUGCAUGGUGGGGGUUGGAAAGUUUCGGCGGUUGGGGAUGGACUCGCGGCUUAUCAGCUUGUUGGUGGGGUAGUGGCUUACCAAGGCUUUGACGGGUAGCCGGCCUGAGAGGGUGACCGGCCACAUUGGGCCUGUGAUACGGCCCAGACUCCUACGGGAGGCAGCAGUGGGGAAUAUUGCACAAUGGGCGGAAGCCUGAUACAGCAACGCCGCGUGCGGGAUGACGGCCUUCGGGUUGUAAACCGCUUUCGCCUGUGACGAAGCGUGAGUGACGGUAAUUAGUAAAGAAGCACCGGCUAACUACGUG
rnacentral:rRNA from 1 species